rnacentral:lncRNA from 1 species
GAAGAGGCAAGGCAGGACAGGAGGGCUCAGGUAAGGGAGACUAUGCAGGUGCAGGGGCAGGAGGAAAAGGAGCAGUUGGAGGCGAAAGAGACAAAGCCUCCUCAAUAUUUCUCAAUUCAGAAAAAGCAUCAGAUAUCCCCAGUUUAAAUCCUCAAUGGAGGCAAUUUUCUCAGUAGUUCUUUUAGAAAUUUCUAGGUAUCAUUGGAAGUAAGUCUCCCAUUCAAUUUGCCUGAUUCUAAAACCAAAUUUUUCCAAUUGUGUGCCCUAAUAAAUUAUUUUAGUCAUUUCAAAAGAUCCCCAUUUUCUCCAUUCUACUUAUGAGUUUUUCUGGUUAGGUGGGUCAGGUUUCUUGGAUAUUUACAAGAGGAUGCUUCAUAACUGUUAUACAGAAACUCAGCUGGUGGUUCUAAACGCGGUUGUUUCUUCAAAGUAUGCUCAGAUUUUGAAGCUUGAUUUCCCAUAAUUCAGGAGCUUUGCAAAGAUGACCAAAAUCUGGGAUGUGUUUUGGGUCACAGUGUCCUGCUUAUGUAGUCACUCCUACAGAUAUCACCGGAGUUGUGUAUCACUGUCUCAGUGGCUCCCACUGUUUCUAACCACCAGGUGGCCACAGAGUGCAUCUGCUCUGGGGGACCCAUCGCUCAUAUACCCUCCCAUAAGAGCAGGAAAGGGGAUUCAUAAAGACGUUCUUCUGAUGGGGAAUGCUCUACGAGGCCGCCUUCACAUGAGAAAGCACCUCUUCAAAGACACACACCGGAGACUGUCUCUUCCUGGACUGCAAACUGAUCUCACCAAUCAAAUUCUUACUACUAUGUAGCCACCCUGGAGGCCUUUGAGAGGACAGUCAGAUGGUCAGAGAUGAGUCGCUCUGCAUUCUGCUCCCUGGGCCAAAAACGUCGACCUAGAAGGAAGGGGCUUAAGCACAAACAUGAUUUAAAAAGUUUGUUUGAGCCAAUGUGAGGACACUUGCCUGGAAGACUCAGAUCCAAGCAAUCUUGGAUGUGGGCUCCAUUUGCCCUUUGUUACAAGCAGGUUUCUAAAGACCAAAAAGGGAGACGGGGAGUUGGCUGGUACAAAAUUGCCUGUCAGGAACUCCCUGAAGUUUACAGAAAUAACAUUGAUUAAUGAUUAGCUAUACAUUGUUCAGCUACAGGGAGUGAGAGAUGGUGUCCAGUGCAGCAUGUUUAGGUUGCUUUAUAGCCACUUGUGAUGAUAGCAAGCUGUUUUAAUAGAUGAAUACACGGCUUCAAAACAGGGACAUAAGACGUUGUUGCUGUCUCAUUUUAAUGCCUAACUCUGGGCUUGUUAAUUUGAAAGCACUCACUUUCCUCACAUAAAAUUUCUUUUCUUUCCUCAGACAUUUGAAUUCUUUAUAGUUUAGGAAUAUUUUGAAUAAAUAUGUAUUUGUUUUACAUGUCUUUGGUAAACCAUAUUCACGUUUCUCUAGAAAUAGAAAUUCCAAUAGAAAUAUAAUGCCAGGCAUAUACGUACUUUUAAAUGUAUUAGUAGACAUGUUUUAAAAAGUAAAAAGAAAGAGGUGAAAUUAUUUUUUAUAAUAUAUAUUCAACUAAAUAUAUUUAAGGUAUUAUCAUUACCCCAUGUGACACUAGCAAGAUUUCAAGUGUUCAAUAGCUACCCGUGGUUUGUGGCUAUCAUAUUGGAAAGCACAAGUCUAUGGGGUAGAAAAGUUGAAUUUCUGGGUCAUAGCAUAUAUGUAUGUGUGUUUUACCACUAGAAUAUACAGGCAAACAAUUUUCCAAAGUUUUUGAACUUAUUUAUACUCUUGCCAGAAAUGAAUAGAAGAUUAUAACGCUUCCGUUGUGCCAAAAUCUGGGAAUGUCUUUUUUUUUAAGUCAAGUUUACUGAGGUAUAAUUAAAACUCACCAGCGUUACAUGUUGUACGUGGUUCUCAGUGAUAUACUCUCUUUGCAAAGCUGGCUUUUGGUGGUAGCUUUGAUUUAAAAGCUAAUGCCACGUAAAAAAAUUCAAUACGUAGGGCCAGGCGAGGUGGCUCAUGCCUGUAAUUCUAGCACUUUGGAAGGAUGAGGUGGACGGAUCACUUGAGGUCAGGGGUUUGAGAUCAGCCUGGCCAAAAUGGUGAAACCCCAUUUCUACUAAAAAUACAAAAAUUAGCCAGGUGUGGUGGGGGGAACCUAUAGUCUCAGCUACUUGGGAGACUGAGGCAGGAGGAUCAUCUGAGCUCUGGAGGCUGAAGUUUCAGUGAGCUAUCAUUGCA